ACGCCCAUAGUAAUAUACUAGUAAAUAGAACUGAUUUACGAAGUUAUACAACAAGGAAGCGAUGACAAACAUGUGUUGUUGCGA
rnacentral:ribozyme from 1 species